rnacentral:rRNA from 1 species
UACGUAGGGUGCAAGCGUUAAUCGGAAUUACUGGGCGUAAAGCGUGCGCAGGCGGUUGUGCAAAGACAGAUGUGAAAUCCCCGGGCUUAACCUGGGAAUGGCAUUUGUGACUGCACGGCUAGAGUGUGUCAGAGGGGGGUAGAAUUCCACGUGUAGCAGUGAAAUGCGUAGAUAUGUGGAGGAAUACCGAUGGCGAAGGCAGCCCCCUGGGAUAACAGUGACGCUCA